rnacentral:rRNA from 1 species
AGGUAGUAACAACCAUUUGAGUCUGGGAUUUCCGAAUGGGGAAACCCACUUACAUAAGUAAGUAUCCUUACCUGAAUACAUAGGGUAAGGAGGCGAACCGGGGGAACUGAAACAUCUAAGUACCCCGAGGAAAAGAAAUCAACCGAGAUUCCGAAAGUAGCGGCGAGCGAAAUUGGACUAGCCCUUAAGCUUUACACGCGUUAGACGAACGGUCUGGAAAGUCCGACGAUACAGGGUGAUAGUCCCGUAGUUGACGACGUGUGUUCAGUGAAAUCGAGUAGGGCGGGACACGUGAUAUCCUG